rnacentral:lncRNA from 1 species
CUCUACCAAGUUCAUCAACAAUAAAGCUUUCAAAGAUAGCUUGUGGAAUGUGAUACCAAAUUUGUGACUGCACAAGACUCAAACCAAUAUUAGCAAGACCAUCCGCACAUUUUUUACCUUCUCUAAAGAUGUGAGAUAUCAUGAAAUUCAUAGUAGCAGUGAUCUGAAUACAGUUAUUCUAACGAUUCCUUAGUCUCCAAGGAACUAGGGAAGCAUUCUUGAAAGCCAU